rfam:Ornithorhynchus anatinus chromosome X3, whole genome shotgun sequence.
CCCCUCUUGGGGUCGUACCUGGAGAGUUUCCAGUACUCUACCAGUCUCUACUAUGAGAGGGAGAGUCAAGCAGAGGCCUACCCAUUCCAUUCCUAGCUUGGGCAGUGGCUAGAGAGUGGAAGGCAAUCUGCUACACGU